AAGACUAUAGACCUGCGGAGUACCUGCGGAAGGAUCAUUAUUGAUUUUUAACAGGAUGUGCUGGCUCUCAAGGGGGCAAUGUGCACUCCUAAUAAAACCAAUAUCCACCUGUGCACCUUAAGUAGACUAGUAGGACUCAUCACAGUCUUUCCAGUCUAUGUUCCUUCACAAACCUUUUGAAAUGUAAAUGAAUGAUCAUCUGUAUAAUUAAUAACAACUUUUAGCAAUGGAUCUCUAGAU
rnacentral:misc_RNA from 1 species